GAAUUUUUUCCUCAUAACUGAGAUUUUACUUAUAAAUAUUUUUUUUACAUAGAAUGGAUGCAUGAUUUUAUAAAGGGGGGAAUUCAUAACUACCGAACAUUAAAAACAUAAUUUCGAAAAUAUCAAACACAUAGAAUCUUAUUCAGAAGUCAGGUGAUAAAUUUAUCACCACCUCAUAACCUACCUUACACCACUUCACCCUAUUAACUAGUUCAAUUACAAGCAUGCAAGGCGUAAAAUAUUUUUUUACACCAUUUUUAACGGUCCUCUCACAUCACACGAGUGGACCCCUCAAUUACUCACUCCUAUGAGUGACUGUCAAAAAGAGAGUACAGCAGAUCUUGGCAUUUUUCGUUCAAUUAUUUCCAAAUUCACCUCCCAAUCCCGAUGCCCAGUACCCUACCCACCACCAAAAAUCAGAUAUUUGAAAUUGUCUUGAAUCCAACAUCGAUUAUCUUCGUCUUCUUCUUCAUAAGGCUGCACAAAUUCCCCAAAUUCAAAAUCCAUACUCACCUAAUUUCAAUCUAAGUAUUCUGAUACUCUCCACUAACCACCAACUUCAACCUAAAUCCUUCAGUUAAUACAAAUUCAAUCCUGAUAUGAAUUUAUAAAUAAUCUCCUUGCCUCACUGCAAAUCGAUUGAAUAAAUCAUUUUCAGUUCAAAAUCCAAGUGGGGUGGGAUGGUUGUCGUUGGGGAUUGGUUGGUGUGGCUGGGUGGUGGCGAUGGAUGAUUGAAUUUCUAUGUUCUAUUUUACAGUGGUUUGGAAUCCUUUGGACAACAAGGCAAAAACAAUGCCUAAUUUGGAGAUGAUGAAUACAAAGGCAAAUUGAAAUAGUAUAUAUUGACGCAGCUACUGUAGAAG
rnacentral:lncRNA from 1 species